rnacentral:tRNA from 1 species
GGUUAUGGCUCAGUGGUAGAGUGCUCGCCUAGCAUGUGUGAGGCACUGGGUUUGAUCCUCAGCACAUUA